rnacentral:rRNA from 1 species
UACGUAGGGUGUAAGCGUUGUCCGGAAUUAUUGGGCGUAAAGAGCUCGUAGGCGGUUUGUCGCGUCGGCUGUGAAAACCUGGGGCUCAACCCCGGGCCUGCAGCCGAUACGGGCAAACUAGAAUUCGGUAGGGGAGACUGGAAUUCCUGGUGUAGCGGUGAGAUGCGCAGAUAUCAGGAGGAACACCGGUGGCGAAGGCGGGUCUCUGGGCCGAUAUUGACGCUGAGGAGCGAAAGCGUGGGGAGCAAACAGG